UAAAUUCGGCAUUUUAUUGAG
ensembl:piRNA 21ur-10187 ncRNA